rnacentral:rRNA from 1 species
ACGAAGGGGGCUAGCGUUGUUCGGAAUCACUGGGCGUAAAGCGCACGCAGGCGGAUUGAUAAGUCAGGGGUGAAAUCCCGGAGCUCAACUUCGGAAUUGCCUUUGAUACUGUCUAUCUUCGAGUUCGGGAGAGGUUGGCGGAAUUCCUAGUGUAGAGGUGAAAUUCGUAGAUAUUAGGAAGAACACCAGUGGCGAAGGCGGCCAACUGGCCCGAUACUGACGCUCAUGUGCGAAAGCGUGGGGAGCAAACAGG